AUUGAACGCUGGCGGCAGGCCUAACACAUGCAAGUCGAACGAGUGGCGGACGGGUGAGAGAUGUGUGGGAAACUGCCCGAGGUAGGGGGAUAACUACUGUAAAAGGUAGCUAAUACCGCAUACCAUCUGAUUUGCCCAGAUGGGAUUAGCUUGUAGGUGAGGUAGGGGCUCACCUAGGCGACGAUCCCUAGCUGGUCUGCGAGGAGGACCAGCCACACUGGAACUGGGACACGGUCCAGACUCCUACGGGAGGCAGCAGUGGGGAAUAUUGCACAAUGGGCGCAAGCCUGAUGCAGCCAUGCCGCGUGUAUGAAGAAGGCCUUCGGGUGGUAAAGUACUUUCAGCGGGGAGGCGUUACCCGCAGAAGAAGCACCGGCUAACUCCGUGCCAGCAGCCGCGGUAAUUC
rnacentral:rRNA from 1 species